UGUGGGCAGUGUUUAGUUCAUGUCUGCUUUGCUGGCGGGCCGAGUAGCAACAGCUGCAGUUGGUGUGUUCUCUGAAGCGAGAAAGAAGAAAGAAAUUCCGUGGAUAGGGAGCCCGCCAGGUUUCCUGCAGAAAAUCAUGGGAAGCUUUUGAGCAGGGGAGUCAGAAGAUGAGCGGGCUCCGGGAUGUCUCGUUCUUACCGUGUCCCUGCCAACCCUGGUCCCAUCUCGUCAUGCUCACCCACUGCAGAAGAGAGGAGGUUCUCACAGUAGACGAGGAGCCUGUUUUUCAGCUAGCUGCGGCAAGGGGGCUGGAAAUUUCUCCCUUCAGAGUGGACCUGGAAGGCUUGGAAGCAUCUGGAGAAGGGCGUGGCCACAAGUAGAGAAAUCGAGGCUACAGGCAGAAGUGGGAGGA
rnacentral:lncRNA from 1 species